GUGGGGAAUAUUGGACAAUGGGCGGAAGCCUGAUCCAGCCAUGCCGCGUGUGUGAAGAAGGCCUUUUGGUUGUAAAGCACUUUAAGCGAGGAGGAGGCUCUUAAGGUUAAUACCCUUGAUGAGUGGACGUUACUUGCAGAAUAAGCACCGGCUAACUCUGUGCCAGCAGCCGCGGUAAUACAGAGGGUGCGAGCGUUAAUCGGAUUUACUGGGCGUAAAGCGUGCGUAGGCGGCUGAUUAAGUCGGAUGUGAAAUCCCUGAGCUUAACUUAGGAAUUGCAUUCGAUACUGGUCAGCUAGAGUAUGGGAGAGGAUGGUAGAAUUCCAGGUGUAGCGGUGAAAUGCGUAGAGAUCUGGAGGAAUACCGAUGGCGAAGGCAGCCAUCUGGCCUAAUACUGACGCUGAGGUACGAAAGCGUGGGGAGCAAACAGGAUUAGAAACCCCGGUAGUC
rnacentral:rRNA from 1 species